AUGCACGCUGGCGGCGUGCCUAAUCCAUGCAAGUCGAGCGAACGGACGAGAAGCUUGCUUCUCUGAUGUUAGCGGCGGACGGGUGAGUAACACGUGGAUAACCUACCUAUAAGCCUGGGAUAACUUAGGGAAACCGGAGCUAAUACCGGAUAAUAUUUUGAACCGCAUGGUUCAAAAGUGAAAGACGGUCUUGCUGUCACUUAUAGAUGGAUCCGCGCUGCAUUAGCUAGUUGGUAAGGUAACGGCUUACCAAGGCAACGAUGCAUAGCCGACCUGAGAGGGUGAUCGGCCACACUGGAACUGAGACACGGUCCAGACUCCUACGGGAGGCAGCAGUAGGGAAUCUUCCGCAAUGGGCGAAAGCCUGACGGAGCAACGCCGCGUGAGUGAUGAAGGUCUUCGGAUCGUAAAACUCUGUUAUUAGGGAAGAACAUAUGUGUAAGUAACUGUGCACAUCUUGACGGUACCUAAUCAGAAAGCCACGGCUAACUACGUG
rnacentral:rRNA from 1 species